AGGACGAACGCUGGCGGCAGGCCUAACACAUGCAAGUCGAGCGCGUGUAGCAAUACACGAGCGGCAGACGGGAGAGUAACACGUGGGAACGCGCCCUUCGGUUCGGAAUAACUCAGGGAAACUUGAGCUAAUACCGGAUACGCCCUUACGGGGAAAGAUCUAUUGCCGAAGGAACGGCCCGCGUCCGAUUAGCUAGUUGGUGAGGUAACGGCUCACCAAGGCGACGAUCGGUAGCUGGUCUGAGAGGAUGACCAGCCUCACUGGGACUGAGACACGGCCCAGACUCCUACGGGAGGCAGCAGUGGGGAAUAUUGGACAAUGGGCGCAAGCCUGAUCCAGCCAUGCCGCGUGGGUGAUGAAGGCCCUAGGGUUGUAAAGCCCUUUCGGCGGGGAAGAUAAUGACGGUACCCGCAGAAGAAGCCCCGGCUAACUUCGUGCCAGCAGCCGC
rnacentral:rRNA from 1 species